ACCGCUUCCUUAUCCUCUCGGUAUGCGCAUCGCCACCACCCUCGCUGCAGAGGCCGCCGCCCUCCCAGCGCGCCAUCACCGCCUCCUCUGCCUCUUCCCCUCCCUCAGCCCCGGCCCCUGCAUUGACUUGGCUCGGGCUGCGCCUCACUGCGCCUGCCAACUGUCACACGCUCUGAGGCUUUCAACAGCGGGGCGCCAGGGACAAACAAGCCGCGGCAAGCGCAAACAGCCUGCUCAAACAGGGACGGCCAGGGUGUUGUUUGACCAGCACUGGAAUUGGAAACUAGGUUUCGAAGAAGUCAAAUCGAAGUACAAUAUUGUAUUUUAAACUGCCUGUUGUUAUUACAUCCCUCACAACGCACGCUCUACUUGAAACUUCCAGUGGAUACCAACUGCACUUAGAAUAAAAAAUGAAACUCCUUGCCUAACUCUGGGACCUCAUCAGCACAUACUCACCAUAUUUUGGUAACAAAGGCCUUCAUGCUGUUCCCGGAAGUCGCCAAGUUCCAUCCAUCAUUGUUAAUAAUUCCUUUUGCUCGCUCCUCGCACAAGAACUGUUUCUUCUGCUUAGUGCUUUGCCUACUGAUUCCAUCUUGUCAUUUAAGUCUCGGCUCAAAUGUCACCUCUGCAAAGAACCCUUGUCUGACCAUACAUCUAAAAUAGCCACAAACACUCUAUAAAGACUUGGCCUUGCUUUAUUUCCUUCUCAGCACUCAUCACUGUCUGAAACAAUGUUUUGGAUUUGUUGCUUAUUAUCAGUCUCCCUUCUCAAGAAUGCAAGCUUUGUGAGGGCAGAGUCGUAAUCUUUUUUAAGGCUGUAUCCCCAAUGCCUGGAUUAUCAACUUCAGGCAAUGGACCACGCACCAGGAUUCCACCUCUUUCUAGCACCUAUCAGUGUUGCGCACAUCAUAGGCCCUCAACAAACAGGUGAGAAUGAAUGAGUUAACAGUGAAUUUUCCAAAGAGAUGAGACUUUAUUGUCAAAAUAUUUUAAAGAUUUCACGAAUUUUCAUGAUUUUUUUUUUUUGACAAAGUCUCACUCUGUCACCCAGGCUGGAGUGCGGUGGCACAAUCUCUGCUCACUGCAACCUCCGCCUCCUGGGUUCAAGUGAUUCUUGUGCCUCAGCCUCCCAGGUAGCUAGGAUUACAGGCGCCCACCACCAUGCCUGGCUAAUUUUUGUAUUUUUAGUAGAGACGGGGUUUCACCAUGUUGGUCAGCCUGUCUCAAACUCCUAACCUCAGGUGAUCCACCCACCUUGGCCUCCCAAAGUGCUGGGAUUACAGGCAUGAGCCACCGCACCCAGCCGAGAAUUUCUAUUAAAUAUAUUACAUAUGUUUCUAUCCUCUUAGGGUGUUCUCAACAGAUUUAAAUCUUAAUGACUUCAUUUUUUAAAAAAUUAUAAACUGAACCUAGGAUCAAGAGAAUUGAAACAUCUUCUUAAAAUAAUUCACUUCCUCAUCUCCAAAUUAGACACAAUGAUACUUUGCUACAGAGGAUUAUUGUCAAUCCGAGAAUCAAUUAGGGAAAAUAUAUGAAAGACAAUUCAUAAAUGUUUUGUAAACUUUAAAUUUCUUUACCUGCAUCAGUUACUUUUAUUCUUAUUUUUUGUUUUUUGGGACAGAGUCUUGCUCUGUUGCCCAGGCUGUAAUGCAGUGGCACAAUUACAGCUUAUUGGAGCCUCAACCUCCUGGGCUCAAGCGAUUCUCUUGUUUCAGCCAUCCAAGUAGCUGGGGCUACAGGUGUGCACUACCACACUUGGCUAAUUUUUUAAUUUUUUGUAGAUAUGGGUUUUCACCAUGUUUCCCAGGUUGAUUUCGAACUCCUGAGCUCAAGUGAUCCACCUGCCUUGGCCUUUCUUCCUUUUUUUUUUUUUUUUUGAGACAGGGUCUCAUUCGGUCACCCAGGCUGCAGUACAGUGAUGUGAUCUCGGCUCACUGCAACCUCUGCAGUGGGGAGAUACAGAAUGAAUAAAAUGACGAAUGGCUCCCUGACAGUGCUAGAUGCUUGUAACUCUGAAGCCAACUUAUAGUUUAAAAAGUAGCUUCCUUUUCUCUGACUUCCAUUUUAUUUUUCAAAAGGAUCUCUAUAAAUCUAUUAAAAAUACUUCUAAGAAUUAUUGUUAUGCCUAUGUUCUUUUUCAGACAAAAUAGAGACAGAGUCUAUAUUAUGGGCUUAAAAUUUUUAAUUUAAAGAAAAUCAGUGAAAGUUUAUGUUAGUAUAAAGACUCAGAGCCUUAUGCAAAAUAUGAGAAAUGGGGGUAGGGAGGGGAAAUUCACCUAGUAAAUGCAAUCUAUAGCU
rnacentral:lncRNA from 1 species